GUAAUGAGUGGGAUGACUAUUCUACUUAUGCAAAUACUGAUGGAGUUGAGAUGGCAUUGGUAAGUGUUUAUCCUUGGUAAAAAAAUAAUUUUGUUUAUGGCUCAUGGUUAGGUUUAGAUGCCAUUUUAAUCUCUAUUUCCUUGAAGAUUCGAAUUUUGACAGUUAAUGUGCAUAUCUCACUUGGCAGGGAGUUUACGGGGACAAUGGGUCUGUUAUGUAUCACAAUGCCUAUGGAUAUGCACCCUAUGGACCAUAUUCACCUGCAGCUUCCACAUCCCAACAUUGGAAAAUGAUGGCGAGCUAUAUGGGCCUUAGCACUGCCAGUAUCCUUCUUGUUUCCAGCCACUUACACCAAACAGUGGACCAUUUCACUUCUAGUCAAGCAACCUCUUCUCAAGGGGAGCUUUCUUCCUCCACAACCCCUGACCAAAUGCCUUUGCCUGCUGAAACCGCCA
rnacentral:misc_RNA from 1 species